rnacentral:rRNA from 1 species
UGAUGGGUUGUUGCUGGUUCUCUAGGGAGCAUGUGCACGCCUUGUCAUCUUUAUAUCUCCACCUGUGCACUUUUUGUAGGCCUUUCAGGUCUAUGUUGCUUCAUUUACCCCAAUGUAUGUCAAUAGAAUGUUGUGCCUAUUUAAUAUAUACAACUUUCAGCAACGGAUCUCUUGGCUCUCGCAUCGAUGAAGAACGCAGCGAAAUGCGAUAAGUAAUGUGAAUUGCAGAAUUCAGUGAAUCAUCGAAUCUUUGAACGCACCUUGCGCUCCUUGGUAUUCCGAGGAGCAUGCCUGUUUGAGUGUCAUUAAUAUAUAUAUCAACCUUCUCUUUUUGAGUGGUUUGGAUGUGGGGGUUUGCUGGCCUUGUAAAGGGUUCAGCUCCCCUGAAAUGCAUUAGCAGAACAACCCUGUUCAUUGGUGUGAUAACUAUCUACGCUAUUGAAUGUAAGGGGCAGUUCAGCUUUCUAACAGUCCUCGGACAAUUCAUCAUUAAUGUGACCUCAAAUCAGGUAGGACUACCCGCUGAACUUAAGCAUAUCAAUAAGCGGAGGAAAAGAAACUAACAAGGAUUCCCCUAGUAACUGCGAGUGAAGCGGGAAAAGCUCAAAUUUAAAAUCUGGCGGUCUUAUGGCUGUCCGAGUUGUAAUCYAGAGAAGUGUUAUCCGCGCUGGACCGUGUACAAGUCUCCUGGAAUGGAGCAUCAUAGAGGGUGAGAAUCCCGUCUUUGACAUGGACUGCCAGGGCUUUGUGAUGCGCUCUCA